rnacentral:misc_RNA from 1 species
GAUGAAGAACGUAGUGAAAUGUGAUAAGUAGUGUGAAUUGCAGAAUUCAGUGAAUCAUCGAAUCUUUGAACGCACAUUGCGCCCCUUGGUAUCCCGAGGGGCAUGCCUGUUCGAGCGUCAUUUCACCACUCAAGCCUGGCUUGGUGUUGGGCGACGUCCUCUUUGGGGACGCGCCUCGAAACGCUCGGCGGCGUGGCACCGGCUUUAAGCGUAGCAGAAUCUUUCGCUUUGGAAGUCGGGGCCCCGUCUGCCGGAAGACCUGCUCGCAAGGUUGACCUCGGAUCAGGCAGGGAUACCCGCUGAACUUAAGCAUAUCAAUAAGCGGAGGA